rnacentral:tRNA from 5 species
CGGAGUGUAGCGCAGCUUGGUAGCGCAUCUGGUUUGGGACCAGAGGGUCGUAGGUUCGAAUCCUAUCACUCCGACCA